GUAAAUCAUUGAAUCAUUCACGAAACCGAUUCCUUCAAAGCAAUAAUUCAUUCAGGAAUGAAAACUAAAGACACACAACGGUCAUUCGACUGUGGAAUAGAAGCAACUGUCGACAUUGUAUCUAAAAUUGUUCCCAGAAGAGUGGGCCUUCAGACGCUUCUUGAGGAUUUCAAUGGAUUCUGCUGUUCAGGUAUUGUCUUGAAGCUGAUUGGGACGCCUUCUGAAUGGCAUUCUGUAAGCAGGUGUGAAGGGGCUCUAGCCAAGUGUGUCGUCUCCCAGCUUCCCUCAUGGCCGGAGCAGAGCGAGGGGGAGGACAGCCCUUGACAGCAGUGACUGCGGGAGUGACGUGGUCCCGCCGCUGCGCAUCUGUAAUCACCGGACCGGGACCCGAAGCUUGUGGCUGCAAGAACUGAACAACCUGCGCUUAACUGUGAUGUAUUUGAUCGAUUUUGGCGCGGAAACGAGAUGGAAUUGAUUACUGCAGUGACACCUCUUUAAAAUGCAUCCUUGGUCAUUAUGAAGAAUAUGCAAUUAAGCAAAGAUCAAGAAUGCGACUAAAUAUUACAGUUCAGUCAAUGAAAAGUCACAUUUGGUCAAACACGUAAGAUUUAUUCAAUAAAUUCAAGAGCGGUGUCAGUAAUUUGAAUUUGGUGUCAUUUUGUCAGUUGAUGUUCGUCGUGCGCAACACAAAUAAGGCGGAUUUGGCGCCCUGAGCUAACUUGCCAUGGCUACUUCGGUUGAACUGGAGACUUCUGUUCGCGAACCUCUGUUGUUUAGUGCAUUCUGUCCUAACUUGAAAUCUCACUUUAAGGGAACUUUUUAAUACGCGCUUUUUAAACCCUCACACCAAACUUUGUUUUGACUUCCUUUGAUAGUAUUGAAGUUGUGAUUACAGAGCCUUAUAAUUCGCACCAUGCGUUUAAUAUUUUUUAAAGACAUAAAGCUAAAAAAAAUUGAGAAAAUUGUAAUACUAUAUGAAUACCCCCCCCCCC